rnacentral:rRNA from 1 species
UACGUAGGACCCGAGCGUUGUCCGGAUUUACUGGGCGUAAAGGGUGCGUAGGCGGCCUUGUGAGUCAGCGGUGAAAUCUCCGGGCUUAACCCGGAGGGUGCCUUUGAAACGGCAGGACUUGAGUGCGGGAGAGGGUGAUGGAAUUCCUGGUGUAGCGGUGAAAUGCGUAGAUAUCAGGAGGAACACCGAUGGCGAAGGCAGCACUCUGGGCCGGUACUGACGCUGAGACGCGAAAGCGUGGGGAGCAAACAGG